AAUGUUAUAAAGAACACGUGUAUUUGUUGUGACAUUUGUCACAUGACUAGAUAUACCGGUUUGAAGGUAUUCUCUAUAGAGUAAUGAGUAUUUCACGAGCUAAUAUAAGCGGGAAGAAUUGUAACGGUAAAUAUAUGUGUAGUUAUUUGUCAUUCGACGCUUGCAUUUCGGACAGUUAAGUCUGGUCAUUUGACCCCACCCACCCACCCACUUUUAUUUUGUCAAUAUUGAAAAUUGAUGUAUUCAUGCUUAAGAUUUAUGUGGAUGUUUUUUAAGAUUAUACGUGCUUGAAAAGAUUGUUAACAAAGAUAUUUCUUUUGUAGAUUGUGUAUAAUUGGAAAAUGAUAUGUUGAACAUGUUGAAGCAGCGGCUACGGGCGUGCAGACAAACAUUGUAAAUAAAUGAAUAAAUAUGCUUAACUGUACUGUCCAGGCGAGCUGAUAUCCCAAA
rnacentral:lncRNA from 1 species